GACGAACGCUGGCGGCGUGCCUAAUACAUGCAAGUCGAGCGGACUUUGCCUUCGGGUAAAGUUAGCGGCGGACGGGUGAGUAACACGUGGGUAACCUGCCCAUAAGACUGGGAUAACAUUCGGAAACGAAUGCUAAUACCGGAUACGCAAUUUGGUCGCAUGGCCAGAUUGGGAAAGGCGGAGCAAUCUGCCACUUAUGGAUGGACCCGCGGCGCAUUAGCUAGUUGGUGGGGUAACGGCUCACCAAGGCGACGAUGCGUAGCCGACCUGAGAGGGUGAUCGGCCACACUGGGACUGAGACACGGCCCAGACUCCUACGGGAGGCAGCAGUAGGGAAUCUUCCGCAAUGGACGAAAGUCUGACGGAGCAACGCCGCGUGAGUGAUGAAGGUUUUCGGAUCGUAAAGCUCUGUUGCCAGGGAAGAACGCUUGCGAGAGUAACUGCUCGCAAGGUGACGGUACCUGAGAAGAAAGCCCCGGCUAACUACGUGCCAGCAGCC
rnacentral:rRNA from 1 species